rnacentral:rRNA from 1 species
CACGUAGGGUGCGAGCGUUGUCCGGAAUUAUUGGGCGUAAAGAGCUCGUAGGCGGUGUGUCGCGUCGGCCGUGAAAACCUGCAGCUUAACUGUGGGCUUGCGGUCGAUACGGGCAUCACUGGAGUUCGGCAGGGGAGACUGGAAUUCCUGGUGUAGCGGUGAAAUGCGCAGAUAUCAGGAGGAACACCUGCGGCGAAGGCGGGUUGCUGGGCUGACACUGACGCUGAGGCGCGAAAGCUAGGGGAGCGAACGGG